AUUGAACGCUGGCGGCAUGCCUUACACAUGCAAGUCGAACGGUAACGGGCCUUCGGGUGCCGACGAGUGGCGAACGGGUGAGUAAUACAUCGGAACGUGCCCGAUCGUGGGGGAUAACGAGGCGAAAGCUUUGCUAAUACCGCAUACGAUCUACGGAUGAAAGCAGGUGACCGCAAGGCCUUGCGCGGACGGAGCGGCCGAUGGCAGAUUAGGUAGUUGGUGGGAUAAAAGCUUACCAAGCCGACGAUCUGUAGCUGGUCUGAGAGGAUGAUCAGCCACACUGGGACUGAGACACGGCCCAGACUCCUACGGGAGGCAGCAGUGGGGAAUUUUGGACAAUGGGCGCAAGCCUGAUCCAGCCAUGCCGCGUGCAGGAUGAAGGCCUUCGGGUUGUAAACUGCUUUUGUACGGAACGAAAAGCCUUCUUUUAAUACAGGAGGGUCAUGACGGUACCGUAAGAAUAAGCACCGGCUAACUACGUG
rnacentral:rRNA from 1 species